rnacentral:rRNA from 1 species
AUGGAGAGUUUUCAUGACUACAAGAUGGUGAAUAACCGUUCUGUGGUUGAACAAGCUCAUGAGAUACAGUGCAUUGUGAAGGAACUUGAACUCCUUAAAUGUGUUCUACCCGACAAAUUCGUGGCUGGGUGCAUGAUUGCAAAGUUGCCUCCUUCAUGGAGGAAUUUCGCCACAACUCUGAAGCAUAAGAGACAGGAGAUAUCAGUUGAAAAUCUGAUUGCAUCUCUUGAUGUUGAAGAAAAAGCUCGGGCUAAAGAUACCACUGAAAAAGGAGGUGAGGUUCAGCCUACUGCUAACAUGGUGCAGAGGUACCCACAUAACAAGAACAAAGGGAAGAACAAACCUGUUGUCAACAAGUCGCAAGGGAUUCUUCCGUCCUAA